CAGCCGCCACGGUAAAACGAAGGGUGCAAGCGUUAAUCGGAAUUACUGGGCGUAAAGCGUGCGUAGGCGGUGAGUUAAGUCUGCUGUGAAAUCCCCGGGCUCAACCUGGGAAUGGCAGUGGAUACUGGCUCGCUAGAGUGUGUCAGAGGAUGGUGGAAUUCCCGGUGUAGCGGUGAAAUGCGUAGAGAUCGGGAGGAACAUCAGUGGCGAAGGCGGCCAUCUGGGACAACACUGACGCUGAGGCACGAAAGCGUGGGGAGCAAACAGGAUUAGAUACCCGAGUAGUCCCUGUCUCUUAUAC
rnacentral:rRNA from 1 species